UUUCCAAAUUCAAGAGCAGCUUAAUCUUGUGACAGCAAUUGGGUUAUGCCCACCUGCCCCAUUCUUGUUGUUUUGCUCCAAUGUCUCUCACUGAUUGCCUCUGUGGGUCUGCUUCUGUAAUCUAAACUCAUCUUGAAGUUGCUUCCUUAAAGGUACUUCCAUGUGUUGCUUCAUGGUGGAAAUGGGGAGGCAAUUGAAUCUGCUUUUUUUGCAAAUGUGCUUGAUUCUGGGUGUUUUGCCAUUUCAUGGAUCUGCAGGUAAUAGAUUUUGA
rnacentral:lncRNA from 1 species